rnacentral:rRNA from 1 species
CAUGGCUUUUUGAAUAAUAAUUUAAAGUUUAAUCUGCUCAAUGAUUAUUAAAUAGCUGCAGUAUAUUAACUGUGCAAAGGUAGCGUGAUAAUUAGUUUCUUAAUUAGAAGCUGGUAUGAAUGAUUGGACAAGAAAAUAGCUGUUUCAAUUUAAAGAUUUUUAAGUUAACUUUUGGGUUAAAAGGCUCAAAUUAAUUUGGGGGACGAGAAGACCCUAUAGAUUUUAAUAUAUUUUUGUUUUAAUUUAUUAUUAAUAUUUUAUAAUUAUGAAGGAAAUUUAUUUGGUUGGGGUGAUUUAAAGAUUUAAUUAACUCUUUAUUUAAAAAACAGUGAUUUUUGAGUAGUUGAUUUAUUUUAGUAAUGUAAAGAUUAAAUUACCUUAGGGAUAACAGCGUAAUUUACUAUGAAGUUCUUAUUUAAAAGUAAGAUUGCGACCUCGAUGUUGGAUUAAAAUGUAAUUUUGGUGAAGGAGCUGAAAUUUUAAGUCUGUUCGACUUUUAAAAUUUUACAUGAUCUGAGU